rnacentral:lncRNA from 1 species
CUGCUCGUAUACCAGCUGGAUCUUCAACUGCUGCAGCUCGGCCUUCCCCUCCCCAAGGGCGAUAGAUAGCUCUUCUAUGGUUCCUCUCAGGGAUUGGAGUUCGUUGGGAUCUCGAAUAGGAAAAAACUGAGCUCCUUCAGAUAACUGCCUUUGAAGGUGGGCAACCUCGUCGGUCGCCAUCUUGAGCUUCCCCCUGUAGUCGUCCACCUGCUUGCACCAGUCGGCCCGAUACACAUUAUAGUUCGCCUCGGCAUCCUGGAGCUGUUGCUGAAGGUCGAAGAACUUCUUCGACCAUUCUUGGUCACAGUCGGCCCG